GAGAGACUGAGAGACCAUCAGGCCUGCACUUCGCAGAGUGGGGGCCCGAGACCCAAAGACCUGCAAUUCCCAAAGCAAGUUAGUGGCAGACUCAAAGCCACAGCCCAGGUCUCCUGACUUCCAGAAUACCACUUGUGAUUGUUCUAAGUUCUUCCAUUACUGAGUCUGUUUCUGAGAAUUCUGACUGAUUUGCUUCCGCCACUCAGCCUGGAGCUCUGCAGCUGUCUUCACGCACUGCCUGCUUGCCUCUUAGGCACAGUGGCUCACACCUAUAAUCCCAGAACUUUGGGAGGCCAACGUGGAAGGACUGCUUGAGUGUGGAAGGACUGCUUGAGUUCAGAAGUUUGAGACCAACCUGGGCAACAUGGCAAAACUGACACAGCACAUAGACACGCCACAUUUACUCUGUUGCUUUCAGCGUGACUAACCCAAAGGAACCUGGCAAGCAGGAGAAACCAGACCUCCCGGCGCUCCCAAGCCACAUCCCUAUCCUGGCUUCUUCCCCAUAGAGUCUAAAUCAUCUAAAGGAGGUGAGGUGGCCAUAUGUACCUUACAGGGGUGUUGUAUGACUUUGAAGAAACAAUAAACAACACAAACAGAAGUCCCCAGCUUAGUCCCGGGCACACGGCAGGUAUUCAACACGUCAGCUGUCCACCUCAACCUCAGCCCACCUCCACCAGCUCUAGCAUACAUUCUACAGAAGACAAAGUUAAAAACAGAAAAGUAGGAUUGCCUGAGGUCAGCAGUUCGAGACCAGCCUGGGCAACAUAGGGAGAACCAGUCUCUAUGCAAAAUAAAACAUUUUUAAAAAUUG